rnacentral:rRNA from 1 species
AGAUUAAACUGAAGAGUUUGAUCCUGGCUCAGAUUGAACGCUAGCGGGAUGCUUUACACAUGCAAGUCGAACGGCAGCACGAGAGAGCUUGCUCUCUUGGUGGCGAGUGGCGGACGGGUGAGUAAUAUAUCGGAACGUGCCCAGUAGCGGGGGAUAACUACUCGAAAGAGUGGCUAAUACCGCAUACGCCCUACGGGGGAAAGGGGGGGAUCGCAAGACCUCUCACUAUUGGAGCGGCCGAUAUCGGAUUAGCUAGUUGGUGGGGUAAAGGCUCACCAAGGCAACGAUCCGUAGCUGGUUUGAGAGGACGACCAGCCACACUGGGACUGAGACACGGCCCAGACUCCUACGGGAGGCAGCAGUGGGGAAUUUUGGACAAUGGGGGAAACCCUGAUCCAGCCAUCCCGCGUGUAUGAUGAAGGCCUUCGGGUUGUAAAGUACUUUUGGCAGAGAAGAAAAGG